UACAGAGGGGGCAAGCGUUGUUCGGAAUUACUGGGCGUAAAGGGCGCGUAGGCGGCCCGCUAAGUCGAACGUGAAAUCCCCGAGCUCAACUCGGGAACUGCGUCCGAUACUGGUGGGCUUGAAUCCGGGAGAGGGAUGCGGAAUUCCAGGUGUAGCGGUGAAAUGCGUAGAUAUCUGGAGGAACACCGGUGGCGAAGGCGGCAUCCUGGACCGGCAUUGACGCUGAGGCACGAAGGCCAGGGGAGCAAACGGG
rnacentral:rRNA from 1 species